rnacentral:rRNA from 1 species
UACAGAGGGUGCGAGCGUUAAUCGGAAUUACUGGGCGUAAAGCGCACGUAGGCGGCUUGGUAUGUCGGGUGUGAAAUCCCCGGGCUCAACCUGGGAACUGCAUCCGAAACUGCCUUGCUAGGGUAUGGGAGAGGGAAGUGGAAUUUCCGGUGUAGCGGUGAAAUGCGUAGAUAUCGGAAGGAACAUCAGUGGCGAAGGCGGCGACCUGGUCCGAUACUGACGCUGAGGCGCGAAAGCGUGGGGAGCAAACAGG